rnacentral:rRNA from 1 species
UACAGAGACCUCAAGCGUUAUCCGGAUUUACUGGGUGUAAAGGGUCCGUAGGUGGUAUAGCGGGUCAUGGGUUAAAACUUCGCGCUUAACGUGAAGACUGCUCGUGAAACUACUAUGCUAGAGGAUGGAAGAGGUAAGCGGAAUUGCAGGUGUAGUCGUAAUAAGCGUUGAUAUCUGCAAGAACACCAAAUGCGAAGGCAGCUUACUGGUACAUUCCUGACACUGAGGGACGAAAGCGUGGGGAGCAAACAGG